rnacentral:rRNA from 1 species
UGGGGAAUAUUGCACAAUGGGCGAAAGCCUGAUGCAGCAACGCCGCGUGAGUGAUGAAGGUCUUCGGAUUGUAAAGCUCUGUCUUUUGGGACGAUAAUGACGGUACCAAAGGAGGAAGCCACGGCUAACUACGUGCCAGCAGCCGCGGUAAUACGUAGGUGGCGAGCGUUGUCCGGAUUUACUGGGCGUAAAGGGUGCGUAGGCGGAUGUUUAAGUGAGAUGUGAAAUACCCGGGCUUAACUUGGGUGCUGCAUUUCAAACUGGAUAUCUAGAGUGCAGGAGAGGAGAAUGGAAUUCCUAGUGUAGCGGUGAAAUGCGUAGAGAUUAGGAAGAACACCAGUGGCGAAGGCGAUUCUCUGGACUGUAACUGACGCUGAGGCACGAAAGCGUGGGUAGCAAACAGGAUUAGAUACCCUGGUAGUCCACGCCGUAAACGAUGAGUACUAGGUGUAGGAGGUAUCGACCCCUUCUGUGCCGCAGUAAACACAUUAAGUACUCCGCCUGG